rnacentral:lncRNA from 1 species
CUGGUUCAUCUCACUGGGACUGGUUGGACAGUGGAUGCAGCCCGCGGAGGACUCAGCCCGCCUGCACCCAGGUGAAAUAAACAGCCAUGUUGCUCACACAAAGCCUGUUUGGUGGUCUCUUCACACCGACGCGCAUGAAAUUUGGUGCCGUGACUCGGAUCGGGGACCUCCCUUGGGAGAUCAAUCCCCUGUACUCCUGUGUUCUUUGCUCCGUGAGAAAGAUCCACCUACGACCUCAGGUCCUCAGACCGACCAGCCCAAGGAACAUCUCACCAAUUUUAAAUCAGG